GACGAACGCUGGCGGCGUGCCUAAUACAUGCAAGUUGAGCGCUGAAGGUUGGUACUUGUACCAACUGGAUGAGCAGCGAACGGGUGAGUAACGCGUGGGGAAUCUGCCUUUGAGCGGGGGACAACAUUUGGAAACGAAUGCUAAUACCGCAUAAAAACUUUAAACACAAGUUUUAAGUUUGAAAGAUGCAAUUGCAUCACUCAAAGAUGAUCCCGCGUUGUAUUAGCUAGUUGGUGAGGUAAAGGCUCACCAAGGCGAUGAUACAUAGCCGACCUGAGAGGGUGAUCGGCCACAUUGAGACUGAGACACGGCCCAAACUCCUACGGGAGGCAGCAGUAGGGAAUCUUCGGCAAUGGACGAAAGUCUGACCGAGCAACGCCGCGUGAGUGAAGAAGGUUGUCGGAUCGUAAAACUCUGUUGGUAGAGAAGAACGUUGGUGAGAGUGGAAAGCUCAUCAAGUGACGGUAACUACACAGAAAGGGACGGCUAACUACGUG
rnacentral:rRNA from 1 species